rnacentral:rRNA from 1 species
AGCAGCUGCGGUAAUUCCAGCUCCAAUAGCGUAUAUUAAAGUUGUUGCAGUUAAAAAGCUCGUAGUUGGAUUUCGGGAUUGACAUGUUGGUCGUGCCUUAAGGGGUAUGAACUGACAUUGUUGAUUUCUCACCUUCUGGAGAAUCACGAUGCUCUUAAUUGGGUGUCGUGUGGAUCCAGGACCUUUACCUUGAAAAAUUAGAGUGUUUAAAGCAGGCAUUUUUGCUCGAAUACAUUAGCAUGGAAUAAUAAAAUAGGACGGCUUGGUUCUAUUUUGUUGGUUUCUAGGAUCACCGUAAUGAUUAAUAGGGAUAGUUGGGGGCAUUAGUAUUCAAUUGUCAGAGGUGAAAUUCUUGGAUUUAUGAAGACUAACUACUGCGAAAGCAUUUGCCAAGGAUGUUUUCAUUAAUCAAGAACGAAA